GCAACUGAGGGAAGUAAAGGGCUUACAUGGCUUGUCCUUCCGGAUCAGUCUCGUCACUGAGGGAAGGGAGGAAGGGACUCAAGCAAGAACUGGAGGCAGAAACCACGGAGGAUCCCUGUUUGCUGGUUGCAGCGGGAGGGGAUGGGAAUUCUGGAAGUGAUGGGAGCAUGGGUAGACUGGGUGGUAUAAGGAGCUCAGCUGCCCGAGUUUGCUAAGGACGGCUGGUUUGCUCACAUGGUUGGGAAGCAGACAAGCCUUAGAUGCUGCAAUGUAUAUAUUCUGCUGUUGGUGUCUCUCUAUGUUGGCCUUGGCACCAAGUUAUCUAGAUCUUUAAAAUGUCUACCAACAAGUGAAUUCAGAGUUUUGGCUAUGUGCAGUUCUAUUCAAUGGCAAGGCAAUUUAUUACUGAUGUGGUUCCAUUCAGACAGGUUUCUAGUACAGGCCAAGUAGAAGGAUGAAGAGUUCUGAUGACAUGCGGACUUAGAGAGACAGAUGACAUGCCAACCUAGAGGAACAGACGACAGCCCUCCAUUGUUUUCAAAUAAUUCAACAAGCAGAAAUGCUAAUCCUGUCUACCCUGCCCCCAGUAGUAGUAUUGACCUGUCAUCCAGAAGCAUCAGGAACAUGAAGUUUUCAGUUCUGAACCUGUUACUAUGUGACCCAAGGAGGAUGACGAUUAAACGGUUAUUACGCAUCAAACGAUUUGCUGUUCGUUGCUAUGGUGAGUCACCGUUGCAGCAUUUGCCAUUGAACUUGGUCACUAUCUCACAGAUGCCUGCACAAUCUGUCUUUCGCUGUGGGACUUAAGCCUCACAUGAAAUCAAUCUCCAGGUCUGAGAUCACUGUGACAGUGAGAGUCACACCGGGGAAGUAACAGGAGGACACCGGAAUAACAGGGCAACUGUGUGGUAGACUGGGGGCCCAGAAGAGGUCAGAGACUGGCUUUCUUAACUGGAAGAAGCACACAGGAGAAGGACGGCCUGCACAGGCGACACAAGAGCACAGCUGGGAAACCUGCGGGUCCCGGGAGAACUAAGCAUCAAAUGGUGGAGGAUCUGCUCGGAGGGGUUUUGUGGGGAACAUGGUCCAGUUGCUUCUGGGGCCUCCAGUGCAAAGGGAUACCACUUGAGAAUUUCAAGGUGUAAAUAAAGCCUCAACUGGAGUGGAGCCUGCUCCAGAUCCAGGGUGAGCAUCAGCAUGGA